rnacentral:rRNA from 1 species
GAUGAACGCUGGCGGCAUGCCUAAUACAUGCAAGUCGAGCGAACAGACCAGAACUUUGCUCCUCUGACGUUGGCGGCGGACGGGUUAUUCACACGUGGAUAACCUACCUAUUAGACUCGGAUACCUUCGGCAGACCGGAGCUAAUGUCCGAAGAUUUAUUGCACCACAUGGUUCAAUCGUAAAAGUCGGUUUUGCUGUCACUUAUAGAUGGAUCCGCGCCGAAUGAGCUAGUUGGUAAGGUGACUGCUUACCCAGGCAAGGAUGGGUAGCCGACCUAAGCGGGUGAACGGCUAGAUGGGAACAGAGACACGGUCCAGACUCCGAGGGGAGGAAGCAGUAGGGAAUCUUACGCAAUGGGGGAGAGCCUGACGGAGCAACGCCGCGUGAGGGAUGAUGGUCUUCGGAUCGGAAAACGCUGUUAUUAGGGAAGAACAAAUGUGUAAGUAACUGUGCACGUAUUGACGGUACCGAAUCAGAAAGCCCCGGCUAACUACGUG